rnacentral:tmRNA from 1 species
CCCAUAAUCAGGUUAUGGCUGUUAUUCCGGUGACUCGGAAACGCUCUGGACAGGGGUUCGAUUCCCCUCACCUCCACCUAAGCCCAUAGGGGUACAGGCUGGGAACAUACCAAGCUGUUGGCUUAGGUGGGGGUGUACUGGUUUCGACAGGGUGGAAGAAGAGAAGCAGGCAGCUCGAGAGGCGACGGACGUAAUCCGCGCAAAUCCAUAAUUGCCAACGAUGAGCAAUUCGCUAUUGCCGCCUAAAAACGGCUAGCCGGGGCUGCUAGAGCCUUGUUACCAAAGAUAGCCGGCGGGGACUUCAGUCCCCGUCGUC